rnacentral:rRNA from 1 species
AAACUAGGAUUAGAUACCCUUUUAUUAUUUUUUUAGGUAUUAUUGGAUGUUCUUGAAACCUAAGGAUUCUGGCGGUUUCUUUUCUUUUCAGAGGGGUUCGCUUUUUAAUCGAUAGUCCUCGUUUAUUUUUUCUCUUUCUUUUAGCUUAUAUAUCUCCGUUUGAAGAUGAAUAUUAGUUUUUCUUUCUUUUUAAAUUAUUAUUUAAUUCAGGUCAAGGUUUAGUUUAUGAAUAAGAUGAAGUUAGCCAUAUAUUUUUACUUUUUUCUUAAUGAAUCUUUUAGGAUUUGUUGGUAAAGUUUUAGUAGAUUUUAAGCUUGAAUUAGUUAAAAGGUAUGUACAUAUUGCCCGUCACUCUUUUGUAAGAUAAGUCGUAACAUAGUA